CGGGCCGUGGCGGACGUGCACGCGGCGCUGGCGCCGUUGCGGGCCGCGGCGGCGCGGGAGCAGCUCGGUUCGAUACCGCCGGCCCGG
rnacentral:tRNA from 1 species